UAAGGAAUAUUGGUCAAUGGACGCAAGUCUGAACCUGCCAUGCCGCGUGAAGGAUGAAGGUCCUCUGGAUUGUAAACUUCUUUUAUCUGGGACGAAAACGGGAUUUUUAUCUCAAUUGACGGUACCAGAGGAAUAAGCACCGGCUAACUCCGUGCCAGCAGCCGCGGUAAUACGGAGGGUGCGAGCGUUAUCCGGAUUUACUGGGUUUAAAGGGUGCGUAGGUGGGCUUAUAAGUCAGUGGUGAAAUCUUCCGGCUUAACCGGAAAACUGCCGUUGAUACUAUUUGUCUUGAAUAUUGCGGAGGUAAGCGGAAUAUGUCAUGUAGCGGUGAAAUGCAUAGAUAUGACAUGGAACACCAAUUGCGAAGGCAGCUUACUACACAAUGAUUGACGCUGAUGCACGAAAGCGUGGGGAGCGAACA
rnacentral:rRNA from 1 species